UGUACUAUAAUUUCUCUAUGUGAGAGAGAAUAACUAAGGACCCUUGUGUAUCUGUGAUUUUCUUAAGUCAAAGCAUGGUAAAAGCAUACUGAAGUACUCUAUCUCUUAUUAUCCUCAGUUACAGCAGUCUGGAAUGCAGCACCUUUUCUAAACUUUCAUUUAUUUGAAAAAUCUUCUCUUCAAUUCUCCUACUUACCUUGGUUGACUCUAACAAUGAUAUUGUCUUCUUUUCAGGCUUUAAGAGUAAAGAAGAUGUCCCCAAACUUGUGGCUGGUUUUAUGGCUAAGAAGUUUUCCCUAGAUGCAUUAAUAACCAAUGUUUUACCUUUUGAAAAAAUAAAUGAAGGAUUUGACCUGCUUCGCUCUGGAAAGAGCAUCCGUACUGUCCUGACAUUCUGAGACAAUACAGAUGUCUUAGACCCUUGUGGCCUCCUCUACCCUACAGGAUCUGGAGCAGCAGCUGGGCAAUAUCAUUAAAUCUGCUCUUCAGAGAUGUUAUCAACAAAUUACAUAUGGGAGCUUUCCAAAGAAAUGGAAAUUGAUAUGAAAUUGUUUUUCAAGCAAAAGUUUAAAAUCCAGAUGAGAACUAAAUAAAGUGUUGAACAUCAGCUGGGGAAUUAAAGCCCAUAAACCUUCCUUCUUAACCAUUCUACUUGUGUCAUCUUUGCCAUUGAGGAAAAAUAUUUCCUAUGACUUCUUGCACUUUUGAUAUCUUCAUAAUUUUCAGUCAUUGAAUCCCAGUGAAGGGGACCCUUCACUUGCCCUGAACAUAACCAUGCUAUGCUCUUGUGCUUGAAAUCUUCUAUUCUAUUUUCACUGUUGGCAUUUUCCCUUUUUAUUAAAUAAAAUGUACCAAAGCCCUAAAGUAAAAACUGCAAUAUAGUAAAGAAUAGACUCAGCUUUAUAAGUGAAGAAGAUCCAGAAGUUCUAAAUCCAGGAUAUUUCUUAGUAACUCAAAUAAAAUGUCACACAUUUUAAUACA